rnacentral:tRNA from 1 species
CGGGGGUUGCCGAGCCUGGACAAAGGCGCAGGAGGCGUGAUCCUGUUCCGAAGGGAUGCGCGGGUUCGAAUCCCGCCCCCCG